UACAGAGGGGGCAAGCGUUGUUCGGAAUUACUGGCGUAAAGGGCGCGUAGGCGGCCUUCUAAGUUGAACGUGAAAUCCCCGGGCUCAACCCGGGAACUGCGUCCAAGACUGGGAGGCUAGAAUCCGGGAGAGGGAUGUGGAAUUCCAGGUGUAGCGGUGAAAUGCGUAGAUAUCUGGAGGAACAUCGGUGGCGAAGGCGGCAUCCUGGACCGGUAUUGACGCUGAGGCGCGAAAGCCAGGGGAGC
rnacentral:rRNA from 1 species